GACGAACGCUGGCGGCGUGCUUAACACAUGCAAGUCGAACGGAAAGGCCCUGCUUUUGUGGGGUGCUCGAGUGGCGAACGGGUGAGUAACACGUGAGUAACCUGCCCUUGACUUUGGGAUAACUUCAGGAAACUGGGGCUAAUACCGGAUAGGAGCUCCUGCUGCAUGGUGGGGGUUGGAAAGUUUCGGCGGUUGGGGAUGGACUCGCGGCUUAUCAGCUUGUUGGUGGGGUAGUGGCUUACCAAGGCUUUGACGGGUAGCCGGCCUGAGAGGGUGACCGGCCACAUUGGGACUGAGAUACCGCCCAGACUCCUACGGGAGGCAGCAGGUGGGAAUAUUGCACAAUGGGCGGAAGCCUGAUGCAGCAACGCCGCGUGCGGGAUGACGGCCUUCGGGUUGGAAACCGCUUUCGCCUGUGACGAAGCGUGAGUGACGGUAAUGGGUAAAGAAGCACCGGCUAACUACGUG
rnacentral:rRNA from 1 species